rnacentral:rRNA from 1 species
UCGGGCCUGCUCAGUGAUAUCGUAUUAAACAGCUGCAGUGAGUAACUGUACUAAGGUAGCAUAAUAAUUUGCCUUAUAAAUUAAGGCUAGAAUGAAUGGUUUGACGAAAGUUGAUCUGUCUCUUAUUUAUUUAUUAGAAAUUAAUUUUUAUAGUGAAAAAGCUUUAAUUAAUUAAAGGGACGAGAAGACCCUAUUGAGCUUUUAUCAGAUAUAUAUAAAAUUUUUUAAUAAUAAAAUUUAUAUAGAAAAUGAUUUUGAUUGGGGUGAUCGAGGAAUAAAAUAAUUUGUAACUUCCUUACAAAAAAUAUUGAUAAAUAAAUUAACCAAUUUUUUGCUUACAUGAAUAAGUUACCAUAGGGAUAACAGCGUAAUUUUUUUAGAGAGUUCUUAUUGAUAAAAGAGAUUGCGACCUCGAUGUUGGAUUAAAAUAACCUUAAGGUGAAGAAGCUUUAAUAGGUAAAUCUGUUCGAUUUUUAAAAUUUUAC